GUCCAGCCUGCCCAGUGACUACAAGUUCAACGGCCGCGGUAUUUUGACCGUGCAAAGGUAGCGCAAUCACUUGUCUUUUAAAUAGAGACCUGUAUGAAUGGCUAAACGAGGGCUUAACUGUCUCCCCUUUCCAGUCAGUGAAAUUGAUCUGCCCGUGCAGAAGCGGACAUAAAAAUACAAGACGAGAAGACCCUUUGGAGCUUAAGGUACAAAACUCAACCGCGUCAAGCAACUCAAUAAAAAGCAAAAACUUUGCGGAACAUGAGAUUUUACCUUCGGUUGGGGCGACCACGGAGGAAAACAAAGCCUCCAAGUGGAUUGGGAAAACCUCCUAAAACCAAGAGAGACAUCUCUAAGCCACAGAACAUCUGACCAAACAUGAUCCGGCUGCCCGAAGCCGAUCAACGAACCAAGUUACCCUAGGGAUAACAGCGCAAUCCUCUCCCAGAGUCCAUAUCGACGAGAGGGUUUACGACCUCGAUGUUGGAUCAGGACAUCCUAAUGGUGCAGCCGCUAUUAAGGGUUCGUUUGUUCAACGAUUAAAGUCCUACGUGAUCUGA
rnacentral:rRNA from 1 species